rnacentral:rRNA from 1 species
UACGUAGGGGGCUAGCGUUGUCCGGAUUUAUUGGGCGUAAAGAGCGUGUAGGCGGCCAUGUAGGUCCGGUGUGAAAACUCGAGGCUUAACCUCGAGAUGUCAUCGGAAACCAUUUGGCUAGAGUCCGGAAGAGGAGAGUGGAAUUCCUGGUGUAGCGGUGAAAUGCGUAGAUAUCAGGAGGAACACCGGUGGCGAAGGCGGCUCUCUGGACCACAACUGACGCUGAGGCGCGAAAGCUAGGGGAGCAAACAGG